GAUGAAUGCUGGCGGCGUGCCUAACACAUGCAAGUCGAGCGGCAGCGCAGUCUUCGGACUGGCGGCGAGCGGCGGACGGCUGAGUAACGCGUGGGAACGUACCCCAAAGUGAGGAAUAACUGCCCGAAAGGGUAGCUAAUGCCGCAUAUGGUCUUCGGAUUAAAGGAUUUAUCCGCUUUGGGAACGGCCUGCGUACGAUUAGAUUGUUGGUGAGGUAAUGGCUCACCAAGUCGACGAUCGUUAACUGGUCUGAGAGGAUGAUCAGUCAGACUUGAACUGAGACACGGUCCAGACUCCUACGGGAGGCAGCAGUGAGGAAUCUUCCACAAUGGGCGAAAGCCUGAUGGAGCAACGCCGCGUGCAUGAUGAAGGCCUUCGGGUCGUAAACUGCUUUUAUAAGUGAAGAAUAUGACGGCAACUUAUGAAUAAGCACCGGCUAACUACGUGCCAGCCGCCGCGGUA
rnacentral:rRNA from 1 species